ACAGACGAUCGAUUCCCUUCUUUUCUUUUUUCUGACUGCCAGGAAGUUCAGCAUCAAACUUGAAGGCCAAUCACAGUAUCUAUGUUCAUUCAUUUAUUCACGUUUAUUGCACGCUUCAUGGUGAACAUAUUUGCAAUCUUCUCUCCUUGGUAGUGAACUCAAAAAACUUAAUAACCUAUUGUUUGCAUGUUGGUUCUAAACCAACUCAAUCCUCUGUUUUAAAUAUUUAGGUGGUUUUUACUUAUCAUCUGGUUGGAAGAGAUGACUCUAGAGCAGGAUUGGCAAACAUUUUCUGGAAAGAGCCAGCUUGUAAAUAUUUGAGGCUUUGCAGGCCAUACAGUCUCUGUCACAACUACUCAAGUCUGCGGUGGUAGUGUGAAAGGAGCCCUAGACUACAUGUAAACAAAUGAGUGUGGCUGUGUUCCAAGAAAACUUAAUUACAAAAACAGGCAGUGGGCAGGAUUCGGCCCUCAGGCCAUAGUUUGCUAACCCCUGAUCUAGACAAACCUACUUUACUGUGCAAAAACAUCUUCGUCUGUACUAUGAUCCCAUCGCCUUUAUUGUAAUUCAUCUCAAUUACCUUGAGAAAACAGGUAAAUCAGGUGAAUUUCCUUCCUCUAUCCAAAGACCAAAAGGGGCUGAUUAUAGAGCAAUGCUGUAUAGAGACUAACAGCAUUUGUCCCAGGGCGAGUAAUUAAACUGAACGACUUAAGAUUCCCUAGCCACUUAGUCCAUGACUGGUUAUUUAGUUAAUGCUAAAGGCCAGGGCAACACAAGCGAUGUCUCAUUUGUUUUGUUUCAUUUCACAGCCUCUAAUCUCAAAUACUCAUUUAACAAAUGCACGCUGUAUGUCACAAUGAGGAUGGGGCUCCGGUCUACUCGGAGCUCCCUGAAUGUAUUGUGCUAUUUCACGCCUCUCUAGCUCUGCACACAAUGUUCCUUCUGCCUGGAACACACUUAGCCCUCUUCUCUUACUGGCUAACACCCACUCGCUGAUCAAAACUAAGCUCAGUGAUACUGUCUCUUGGAAGACUUCCCUGAGUGCACCUACCUCCUCACCCUCAACCUCCAGUCCACACACUCAGUCUCAGCAUUUAUUCUACUAAGUUAAUAAUUAAAAUAGCUAAUUGUGUUUAUAUGGUCCCAGGCUCUUACUAUAUGCCAGGCAUUGUUAACUAUAGUUGUUUAACUGAAAUUAUCAGUAUACUUGCCCAUUUCCCCAGUCCAAUCAUAUAUUCAAAAACAUUUAUUGAGUACCUCCCAACUGUUGUGCUAGAUAAAGACAAAGAAAACACAAGCCUAUAAUAGAGUGUAAACCCACUGAGGGCACCUACUGUGUCUUUUUGCUUUUACUUCUCGACACCUAGCAGUGUCCAGAGCAGAGAUUUUAGAUUAAUAUUAGAGGAAUGAAUGAAUGAAAAUAGCUAACACUUACACAGUACAUAAUAUGUGCCAGGCAAUGUUCUAAGCUCUUCACAUGUCUGAACUCAUUUACUCCUCGUAACAGCUUUAUGGAAUAGCUGGUAUAAUUAUCACCAUUUCAUAUAUGAGAAAUCAAAGGCAUGGAGAAUCUCUAAGUAACCGUCCCAAGGUCACCCAGAUAGUACGUGACAGAGCUGAUUCCAGAGUCCAUGUUCGCAACCACUGGAUGAAAUAAAAGCUUGAGUGACUCAGCAUAAAUCCAUUGCCACUCUGGGAAAGGUAAUUGAAAGGAUGCAUCCUUGAAGACAUGGCUGAUCCAGUGGUAGUGGUUAUCUGCUUGGGUUUCGGAGUCAGAACUGUGAUCAUAUUUGCACUUGAGUGCUCAGUGUAAGUGAGCACUGUUGUUGGUGCUGUUGACAGUGCCUCCAAAGUGCACCCUCACAUUUACUCACAGACCUUCAUGGUUGCAUUCUGAACUCCCACCCGAUUUCUCCCACCGCCCUCUCCUCUUCUCAAGUAGGCAUGCACUGAUGCUCAAGGAGCGACUCCAGCAUGACUGCCAGCCUGUGACUGCUGUCUUGACUCUUCUCUGGUGGCAAGCAAGAUUAAACCAUAGAUUCACACAUGCUGGCCUAUUCCAAUGGGCACUUGAGCAAAUUAGCAUUUUGAAGAAGACUACACAGGAAUGUCCAUAAUUCUGGUGAACCUGGCCGGCCAUGUGCAUUUGUUUUAAGAGAUUGCUGCCAGUCACUCAUUGAUGGUUUUGGAAGUCCCCAUGGGGCCUCCCAGGCAAUAUGCCACUCAGCGGGGAAGACACAGAGAAGAAGAAAUAGUGACUGGUCUGCAACUGUCUCUGAGGACAGGCUUGCUCUGAUGAAAAAGAAAGAACAGGUAAAUAGAAGGAGGCAAGAAGGUGAUUGGGUUGGUGGCCUCCGUCGAUGGCCUAGAGGACCUAAUAAAGAUGUGCAGGGCCAGGACUAGCUCCCACAAGCUUCCACUUCUCAGUCUGAGGCACAGCAGAGAUCAAUAAGAAUUCAACAGUUCAAGAAUUGGCUCUUGCAAGCAACCAUGUGUCACUGCAGAGCUGUGCAAGAUUGUACCUGCGAGUACAUGAUAAGGUAUAAGAUGAUGUUGUCUUUCCCUUUCUCCUUGACAAGCUUUCCUCCGUCAAUAAUUAAUCAUGGGACUUCUCCAGGAAAACACUGCCUGGCCGAAAGACUUGAGAAAAAUAUUCAGUUGACCAAUAUUCUUGUGCACCUGCAAACAUUUUUCAGGGCUUGGGUAGAAUUUACAGCACCUUAUUUUCCAAUUAAAAUAAUCCAGGUUUUAUUGUAUUUGUAGCCCCUUUCAUAUAGUUUACCACUGAAUAAUUCUCUGCUUGUUUCAUUACGUAAAACUUGCGUUUUCUCGUCUAGAUCACAGACUCACUGAGGGCAGAUGUCAUGUCCAUACUCCUUUUGAAUCCUCCCCAGCACUAACACAGAAUGGAGGAGCACAAUACUGAGUGGUCAGCAGGGAAUGGCCACAAGAUGGUGUCUGGAGACCUGGUAGUUUCUGUGCCCCCUGCCCCAUUCAGCUGGGGAUUAGACCUUUAGAAAGCACUUAAGUCUCUGAGAUGCAAUUUCCUCAUUUUAGGAUUGCCCCAUUGACCUCACUGGCUUGUUGGAAGGAUCAAAUAAGAUAAUGUAUGUGAAAGCACUUUGUAAACCAAGAUUUGCUAGCUACUGAAAUGUAAAAAAUCAGCAGAAGAGGCAUUUAGUAAAUAUCUGGUUGAUUUUGAAUGAUAAGGUAUUAUCUUCCCUUCUCCCCUAUAUUCAAUUCCUUUAGGAGUUUUAUUUCUCAGGAUUUAAUUUCAACUGAGUAGCAAACCACCCCACAACUUCCUGAUACUGUGUGAAAUGUACCUUAGUGCCUUUUACCCCAUAGUUACCUUAAAAAUUGAAUGAAAUCUAAACAAACCAAUAAAAAACGUCGCAAAGCAUGCCAUGGUCACAUCUACUACUCAGGGCUCCCGGAGGCCAAUGCCUUUGUAACCCACAGAGUUCGGAGCCUUUCUUGUGCUACAUCAGCACACUCAAAUUGUACCCUGGACAAGGAUUAUGCAUAUUUCUGCAUUCUAGCACAUACUUGAUACAUGAGAGUGGCAGAUCAUUGCUCUAAGCCCAGGCCAGCUGAGAAGAAAGUGGAAAACAUGGCACCUUAUGUGAGAAAUUUUACAAAGAGAUGACACUAUGAACCAGACUUUUAGUAUGAUUCAUUUAUUCGUCUUUAUUUUCUACUUGUUCUUAGCGAAGAAGACAAUCUCUGUGUAGUAACAAAAUUCUAUAUGAUACAUUAGAAAAAUCUUCUUUCCAACAUGGUUAUUCCUCAAAUGUUCUGGAAGAUAUAAAGUUUGGUCACAGGGUUUUUUCUCACUUAGCUGGAGGAAAAAAAUGGAGACACUAAGACAUAAAGUAAGUUGUAUUACUCUAGGAAUUAGCUUUUAGAGAUUUCUGAUUUCCUGUUUAAUACUCUGGGUCCGAAUAACAUGAAAGUAAAAAUAACUAGAGAACUGAUGACUUGUUUCUGGUAAGUAUUGUCAUGUCUUACUGAAAAUUUUAAAUUUCGGUAUUUUCAAUUAAUUCAUGAAAGCUAUGCAAGCCUAUUUUUUUCCAAAUUCAAUCAUAGAGUGUCAACUGCAGGAGUUAUAUACAGGGUAUAUAUUGAAGCGUUUUGUUGACAGAACGAAUCCAGACCAGUUUUGAACUCCAUUGAUGAACAAAUUUAUGACACUCUUUUCAAGGGGCAUAAAAAGAGGAAUCUCUUUGUCAGAAUUCCAAUCCAGAACAGUUUUCUUUCAAAAACUGUUUUAAAUUCAUUUUCUUUUUAAAACUUUUUGUUAUGGGAGGUUUAAAUAUACCAAAAGGUAGAAAGAAUAAUAAAAAUGUACCCAACUUCCACCUUUAUGAACCGUCAUCCAGCUUCAACAUAUGGCCAAUCUUGUAAAGCCUCAUUUUUAAUCGAUAUUAGUAGCCAGUAAAAUUAAACUCACAUUAUACGCCAAAAAACUUCAAUGUUCAAAUCUAGCAUGUUUCUUUACAUAUUUUUUCCUAAAAUAAUUUUAUUUUCAUCAGACACUUUUCUUUCUCACUCUUAAAUCUCUCCCACUUCUCCUCUGAGGCCAGCCCCUUUCAUGGUCAAUGCUGGAGGAAAAGUACUUAAGAAGGAGAGGAAGAGGCAGAUUUUAAAUUUAUUAAUUUAUUAAUUUUUCUCUUCCUAUGACACCAUGCCUUCUGCCCUUUGCCUAAAAUGCGGCAGGAAAAUAGUGGUAUUGAGAAGCAAGGCGUUUCCAACAACAGAACUGAAUCUUUGUCCAUUUGCCCCAACAAUACAGCAAGUGGCAGAAUGAGAGAAUGACCCACUCUAUUCUUGAUAAGAAAGGGAGAGAGAGCCCCAGUGACAAAUAUUACAACCCAAAUGUUUCGAGGUGGGGAGUUUCUUGUAUGUAAUUGGUUAUUUAUUCAAUUUAUUUUCUAUAUAUACAAAUUAAAAAUUUUUCAGAGUACAAAUAGUUUGCUGUAUAGAAUGAUUACUUUAAGGUUUAUCAAUACCAGUUUGUAGCCAAAUCAUACCCAUAGGUGACCUAAAAUAAUAAUAAUUUUUUAAAAAGUAAUAAAUUAGAUUGGUGUGGUUGAGUAGAAGUUAUAUGGCUUUAACAAAACUUUGGUUUUUUCUUUCUUAUUGUUCUCCAUGGUAAAAACAGCAAAAUUCCUACCUAGAUGGUAACACUUGUACCAUUCGCUUAAUUUCAGGAUCCUUGAUUGCUCUUGGGAACAAGUAUACUGCUGUGGCAUGAAGUGGAAGGUAUAAUUUGGAGCCAGAUGAGAGAAAAAAGGCUCCUUUCAGAAGUAAUAUAUUCAUAUAAAUUCUAAAGUAUCAAAAAAAGCUUAAUAAUUUCACCAAGUAAUCUAAAGCUAAAUUUCAUAUGCAAGUUCCUCACAGAACUAUAACAAACUUUGUGGAACUCAAGCCCACCAUGGAAAAAGGUUUCAAAACUUCUUUUAAAACAAGUGCGUUAGGGAUAGCAAGCCACAAAGGGUAACAGAGUGUUACUCCUUGUCGUAUUUGCUUUAUCACCCGUGAUAACUUGUUUUGCAUUCAGAAAAGACUUAGAGAAAUGUAAGGACGAAUACUUAUCAUGAUUCAUUCCCAUGUGGACUUUUAGAGUCCAAGAUGAUAGCCUUCCUUUUUCCUUCAACAGCCAGACUCUGAAAGGAAUCUAGAGAGCGCAGCACACAGGAGUGGCCCUCAGUCAAAACGGGGCUCAUUUCCAGCUCCGCAUAAGUGCGUCUACACGUGAUGUUGAAGGGAGUGAGCAAAAUAAAUCUCCUUAAAUAUUACGUGGUGCCAAUGACCCUACCUCACUAUUGAAGAAAUAAACUGCAUUUCUUCCUCAGCGUAUUCACAAGGAAUCUCUGAGAUACAGGGAUAUGGUUAUUCAGUCAGAAAAAGCAUUUGUUUAUUUAAGAGAAGUGAGCGCUUCAUAGGAAAACUUUCAACUUAACAGAGGGGGAAAUAACUUUUACAAAGAAUCAAGCCAGUCAACCUAAGGGAAAGGGGGAAGGAAACAACAAUGAAGUAUAAUAGGUAAUAAAAACAAAAAGGAAAGAAUAAAAAUAAAUAUAUCAGCUACUGCUAAAAAGUUGAAUGAGUCCAAUUUCCCUUUCAAAGGACAAACUUUCAGAUGGGGCUUAAAAAAAACAAAAUUAAGCUAUGUAUAAGAAACUCACUUCAAAUAAAGUGACAAGGAAAGGUUGAAAAUAAGUGGUUGGGCAGAUAUAUGUCAGGCAAAUCCAAAAGCAGGAGUGGCAAUACUAAUAUCGAAUUCAAGGCCAGAAGCAUAAAAUAGGAAGAGGGUGCAAUGAUUAAAGGCACUGUGGCAGAGACUGCUGAUACCUAUGUAAUGUCUAUUCCUCCUCACCCUUACUAACAAAACCUCAAUUUAAUUUGGCACAGCAACGUGUCCAGAUAAAAACAAUUUUCCCUUCCUCUUUUACAAUUGGAGGUAGAGUAUAAGUUGUAAGCAGAGGUUAGUGGGUGGGGCUUGUUGAAGUCUAAUUCAUCUGGAAGCUACUCCUUUCUGAACGUGUUUUUCCUCCUUCUUGACUGGAAUAUGUAUGUGGUGGCUGGAGCUGCAGGAGCCAUCUUGCAACCACGACUUGUAGAAUGGGCAACACAUACUAAAUUUGGCAGAGCAGAAAGACAAACGGACCUUGCAUUCCAGAUGACCAUGGAGCCACUAUAUCAGCCCUGAACUUCUCACCAUCAGGAAAAGAAACCGGCACCAUGUUUCCAGUUAUUCUUCAUUUCACACAACAACUAGCUGUUUCCGUUGGCUGGCACAGUGGAUGGGGAACACUAUUGAGUAAACUCUGCUGAAGAAGGAUGAAAGUGGGCCAGUGAAUUUUUUUGACACAGUCCAAGCUUUAUUUUUGCUUAUUUCUGGCGAGCUAAUAUGAGGGAUGUUAGGAAACAAUUGACAAAAACUUUUAAUAAGGCUUAAAGGACAAGAAAUCUCUAUAGCCCCUCAAAAUAUAAACUUUUUGUACAAACAAGGAUCAUCUGUGACCUAAGACAGAACCUCUAAAUUUAGUUGUUGGUUAGAAAAAGAAAAAAACACAUAAAUCUUUUUUUUUUUCCUGAAGAAAAUUCAGCCUGGGGUAACAUCUGUGCCAGUCUUCCUCUAUUUUGUAUGUGGGUUGCCACCUCAGCAUGGCCACCAAUGAGUGGUGUAGGUCCGCCCACAGGAAGCAAACCAGGCCUGCCAAAGAGGGGUGUGCCAAACUUAACCACAAUGCCAUGGGGCUGGCCUCCUAUGUAAAGCUUUUUUAAAAAAAAUUCAUAAAAUAAAACAUUUUUAAUAACACAAAAGCAAAAUAUUAAAGUAUUUUAAAACAGUUAAUGAAAAGAUAGUAUUUUCAUGAGCAAGUACUUUAAUAAAUGAAAAUGUAUGACUAUUUAAGAAAACUAUUA